CUGGCAUAUUGCAGAUCUACAGAGGGCAGAUUCUUUCAUUAUAUACAAAAAGAAACAGGAGAGAAUGUGUAGCUACUUAGUGAGCAAAACUGGGGAAAAAUAAAACAAAUGUGCAAAAAGAAUGGGCAUAAAAAUGGAUAAAGAAGAAUUGGUUUUCGUAGAGGGUAGGAUGCAGAUUGAAUAGGUGAACAGUUAAGUAAGGUUUACUCUUCAUAGACGUCGCAUCAAAAUAUAAAAAUAGAUGGUGUGAAACUUGGAUGAAUUGUGUUUCAGUCCAAAAUGCUUAGAUCAUUCUUUCUGUCUCUUGCAGAUUGUUUCACAUGGACUGUGGUUUAUCAUCAUUUCAGCAAGUACUCGGUCUGUAAGACCCAUCACCAAUAUUUUCCCCUACAAUUCUUUUUAUCAGAACUAUACAAAGUACGAAGAUGGUGAGGAUGCAGAUGGAAUUGUGUCUAACUGCAUGUUACUGAGGAAUGAUUCCAUACUGGGAGUUUACCACAAAGAAAAAGCAAAUCCCUCCUCAGGAAUGCUGGGGACGAGCAGAAAUGUCUCUCUGAGGGCUCAUCGGGCUGUGCAUGCCUCACGGGGCCGCAGAUAAAGACUUCACCCUAUGGUACUAUGCAGAUUUAAUGCAUUUAUGCAAGUUUAUGAAUAACUCAUAGGAAAAAAAAAAUCUAUGAUUGUGUUUUCAACUCAUCACAUGAAAGGUUACGUGCGCCAGCUCUAUUUAUGUCUCGAUCUGGGCUCAUUAAUGCAGAUUAACUCCAAAACUCUUCCUCUGUCUGAUUUCCCGAUUUCUCUCGCCCCGGAUCCUGAGGUGAC
rnacentral:lncRNA from 1 species